rnacentral:rRNA from 1 species
UACAGAGGGGGCAAGCGUUGUUCGGAAUUACUGGGCGUAGAGGGCGCGUAGGCGGCCUGCUAAGUCGAACGUGAAAUCCCCGGGCUCAACCCGGGAACUGCGUCCGAUACUGGCAGGCUUGAAUCCGGGAGAGGGAUGUGGAAUUCCAGGUGUAGCGGUGAAAUGCGUAGAUAUCUGGAGGAACACCGGUGGCGAAGGCGGGUCUCUGGGCCGAUACUGACGCUGAGGAGCGAAAGCGUGGGGAGCGAACAGG